AUCAAUGGUGGCUCAGUUUGGGCAGCUUAAGGGCUGGCCGAGGAGUAGUGUGUACCGGUUGUGCAAACCCGUUCUGGGCCACCGCCAUU
rnacentral:antisense_RNA from 1 species